UUUUCUGAUAUUCCCAACGUCAACAUUAUCCUCACCAUUAUCUUCAUCAUUAUCAUUAUCAUUUACAAAAUUACCAAAGGAUCAUCGAAUGAAUUAUCAAUUCUUCCAGCUUUGUGACAGAAAAACAACAGUGAACAGAUUAUGGAUUAAAUAUACAAAUAUAAGUUUUUUGUCUGUCUGGAUCAGAAUAAGAUGAUUCUCAAGUUCCAGCAAUCUCCAGAUGUCCCCGUGUGAUAAGCAAAGGUGAUACAUGAAACUCUAAAGGGAUACUCAAUGCUCAACACUGAAUCGCCCAACGAUGCUGGGAUACUUCAAACGAUGUUUCGAUCAUUAAACAAAAUUUUAAAUGUUGUUGAUAGUUUAGGUUAAAUGAAUAAAAAAUUGCAAUAGGCGUAAAAAAUGUUUGCUGGCCCAGCAGCAAA